UAGUUGAACGAUCUACUAUCCAACUUAAUGGUAGACCUUACUUCUUAUAUGAGUCAGGUUUGAUUAUGUGCCCAGUGGCCACUUUGUAGCAGACUGCGCUGUGGGAUGACCAACGUAAUGUUACGUGCCCAAAUAACAACUCAUGCAGAUACCAUGAAAGGCGUUGGUGCUUAAACAGCAGGACGGUGAUCAUGGAAGUCGAAUCCGCUAAGGAGUGUGUAACAACUCACCUGCCGAAGCAACUAGCCCUUAAAAUGGAUGGCGCUUAAGUUGUAUACCUAUACAUUACCGCUAAAGUAGAUGAUUUAUAUUACUUGUGAUAUAAAUUUUGAAACUUUAGUGAGUAGGAAGGUACAAUGGUAUGCGUAGAAGUGUUUGGCGUAAGCCUGCAUGGAGCUGCCAUUGGUACAGAUCUUGGUGGUAGUAGCAAAUAAUCGAAUGAGACCUUGGAGGACUGAAGUGGAGAAGGGUUUCGUGUGAACAGUGGUUGAUCACGAGUUAGUCGGUCCUAAGUUCAAGGCGAAAGCCGAAAAUUUUCAAGUAAAACAAAAAUGCCUAACUAUAUAAACAAAGCGAAUAUAAUACACUUGAAUAAUUUUGAACGAAAGGGAAUACGGUUCCAAUUCCGUAACCUGUUGAGUAUCCGUUUGUUAUUAAAUAUGGGCCUCGUGCUCAUCCUGGCAACAGGAACGACCAUAAAGAAGCCGUCGAGAGAUAUCGGAAGAGUUUUCUUUUCUGUUUUAUAGCCGUACUACCAUGGAAGUCUUUCGCAGAGAGAUAUGGUAGAUGGGCUAGAAGAGCAUGACAUAUACUGUUGUGUCGAUAUUUUCUCCUCGGACCUUGAAAAUUUAUGGUGGGGACACGCAAACUUCUCAACAGGCCGUACCAAUAUCCGCAGCUGGUCUCCAAGGUGAAGAGUAUGUAGUCGAUAGAAUAAUGUAGGUAAGGGAAGUCGGCAUAUUGGAUCCGUAACUUCGGGAUAAGGAUUGGCUCUGAAGAUUGAGAUAGGUGGGAUCCCC
rnacentral:ncRNA from 1 species